UUCAAUCAAAAUUGGAGAUUUUACAUCUCGUGUAUUUCUUAACGGAUUACCUUGAUAUUUGGUAUGUAAAGUAAGGGUCCAGUGUAGCACAUCCACUGAAAUUAUGCGGUAGGUUGGAUUAUCACAGCCCGAGCUACAGAAAGUGGAAAAUUGCUAAACGAUCAUUCUUGUUAACACAUAGUGUGUUCUGCAAGUUGUCUUGGCCGCAUAGUACAUUACCGUUUGUCUUGAUUCUCGACUCCACAUCAACUUAUUCGUCGAAAAUUACGGUAAGUUUACGUAUCCGCAACUCUAGAAUCCGGGGUUCGAGUCCCUACGAUGGACAGUGCAGUUAGCCCAUUCUAUAGCUUUGACUAAGAAAACAACAGCAGCAUUAUAUUAGUGAUAGUUUUCCCCGCCACAACCAGUUGUACUAGAUUUUGUUUUAACACUUAAGUGCACUGUCCCCACCUUCCCCCAAGUAAAUAAGUAAAGGCUUCAAUAAUGUAAAAUGGCAUGUGUUGUAUUAUUAAUUAAAUAACGAACUGAUUAACCUUUUGAUUUUGUGUAAUAGCUACUCACACUCACUUGUAAUUUAUAUUUUAACUUUAUUGUGGGAAUGGUUUUCUUCCUCUCCACGAGGACAGAUAACUUGUGGAUGGGAGGCUGUGUUCUAAAUAGUCAAUAAUGCAGUCAGGGUUAAUAAAAAAUUCCAUGAAUUGCUAAUAUAAUAAUGUUUUGGUAUCUGUUAUUUUCUAUUCACCUUGCCCUGUAACAGCCUAUUAUCACUGGCCAGCGAGUUAUCCCGUACAUCUGGGCUUCAGUCCCCUCACGUCCGGCUAUCUCCUUGUCCCUGGGACGAACCGCCAGUGGUCUUCAGUGCUUCUGCUGGAUCCAGUACUGUAGCCAUAGACAACAAGAUAGAGCAAGCCAUGGACCUUGUGAAAAGCCAUCUGAUGUUUGCUGUGAGAGAAGAAGUAGAUGUGCUGAAGGAAAAGAUUGGAGAACUUCUGGAAAGGAUAUCACAGUUGGAGUACGAAAAUGGAAUAUUGAGAUCUAAUGCUUCCCAAGAAACACUGAACAAAAUCUCCCAACCUGCUUGUCAAAUGGCUUCUCAACAUCCACCAGGAUCUACAAUGGGGGCACCUUCCCACCAACAGGCUUCACUGCCAGGACAUCCUCAGCACCAAAAUUCUUCCACGUAACCCUUGCUGAAGCAUGGGCAGAGAAAGUUCCUGAUUGUAAAUAGUAAUAUGUAUGUGUACAGUAAAACUAAUUAAGAUGUAUGGUUGAAGAGGAAGUAGUAGUGAAAUAAAAUGGUAUGUGUGAGAUAGGUAUAGUCAGAAGAAUAAAGUUUAACCUGAAAGGAAAAGCUAGAUGCUGUAGUGAACCAGCCCAAAAACUACAUUUGUUCUUUUAGAAGUCAGAUCAGAGUUGAGUGUUGUUAGAAGUACAUCCCAAGCCUGUCCAGAAACUGCAGAGUUAUUUCAGAAGUCAGAUCACAUUCACUUGUGUGAUAUUGGGAGUAUGCCUUAGGUCUGUCAGAAGACACACAAAUCCUUUCAGGACUAGAUCACAGUCGAUUUAUAUUAGAAAUGUGCCCAAAACCUGUCCAGAAACCACAUAGCUUCUGUCUGGAAUUAGAUCACAACUGACUAUGUGUUAUUGGGAAUAUGCUCUAGGUCUGUUAGAAACCACACAAGUUUGUUCAGAAGUAGAUCACAGUUGAGUGUAUGUUACUGGAAGAAUGCCCAGAUCCUCUCAAGGAACCAUUUAGGUUUUGUUAGAAAUCAGAUCACAGUUGACUUUGUGUUAUUGGGAUUUUCCCUAGAUCACACAAAUUCUUUGAGAAGCAGAUUGAUUGCGUAGUACCAGAACUAUGCCUCAAAGCUGUCCAGAAACCACAUAGGUUCUUUCAGAAGUGAAAUUACAGAAAAUGAAAUUUUUUUUUUUUGUUUUGUUUACAAACUACAUGUGGUUCUCUCAAGUUAUAUACCUCCUCAUGACUUAGUUAACUUUGAACCUGCUUUUCUAAUUUUUUUGUAACUUUAAUCCUUAGUUAGAUAAACCAGAUCCUUUGCAUAUUGCCACAGAAACCAAGCUCUCUCUCAACAAAAUCUCUACACUGCUUUUGAAUAUGUAAACAGACUCUUCUUUGUAGUGGAACAGUGUAAAAUACCUGUUAUCUUAAGAAUCUUCAAGUUAGAAAUAAUUAAGUUACUCUAGAUUAUUAUGCCAAUAUUUCACUGUGUAGUUUGUCUGUGUGAUACACUUUGGGUCAUUUUCAAAUUCAGCCUGUCAAUGUGAAUUCUCAACACAGUAUAUAAACUUAUUCAGUGCCACAAAUCAUGUGAAACACCAAUUUUCUGAAUGCCAUUGUUCAACUAUGCUGUUUUUUUCUUUCAUUUUGUUUUUAAUUAGACGGGUUUUUAACUUUUCAAUGAUAAUAGAUGUUGCCUGGAUGUCCAGCUUAACUUACAAUGUUUAUCUGCCUUAUAAAUCUUUACUGCUUUUUCUCUUUCCAGAUGAAAUAGGAAAGAAAAAAAUCUAUCACUGUUUUUUUGUGUAUGUGUCAUUUACAUAAUCAACACCUUGAAUAGAAAUAAUAGUUUAGUGUUUGUAUAGUGGUCAGUUAAAUCAAAAUGACCUAAAUACUAUAUCAUAACAAGUAACCUGUAAGCAGUGUUAUUAUGCACACAAUAACAUACUCUGUGCAGAUGAAUGUAAAAGUAAACAUAGUAUUUUGUAGAAUGUUUGGCUUAACCAGUGUUCUACAGUGUUGGUAGCUAUGCUGUUUUAUCUUCAGCAGUAAUCACUGUGUUUAUGUGUAUGGUGUAUUCAUUUUUUGAUAUGACUGUUAACAUGGUAAUUUGUUACUGCAUGAAAGAUAAUUUCUUUAGAAUGAGUUAUAAUUAUUUUGAAAGAUGUAAAAAAAAAAGAAUACUGGCAUGAACAGUCAUCUAUCAGCAGCUAAUUUUUAAAAUUAUCUAGAAUAUCGGUGUUUUCUGGCCACAGCUAAUUUCGGUUUAAAAUCUGGCAAGAAAAUUAGUUUUUAGCAUAAGCUGUCACCUGACAGCAGCUAAUCCCAGUUGUGAAUUUGUCAAGAAAGCUAGUAUUUAACAUUGGGUGUUACUUAGCAUCUUCUAUUAACUGUAUAUAAAUAUUAGUUUCAGGGUUCUAAUGAUGUUAACAUGAAAUGUCUUUUGGAAAUUAUAACUCUCUCAAGAAAGCACUAGCCUGAUUAAAAUAUUAGAAUAUCAGUGUUGGUGUGAACUGUUAUCUAUUAUCAGUGAAAUUGUUAAAAUUCUAGAACCUGAAAGAUUGAAGAAAAGUUUCAAAACUAUUUUACUAUGUAUACAGUUCUAUAAAAUUAAUGAGAAAAAGUUAGGUUCUUUAAUGUCAGAUGAGAUUACAUUUUAUAAAAACAAAAUAAAUUGUGCUUAGUUGAUCUAUUCUCAUAUGACACUUGUUUACAAAAGUUGAUGUUUGAGGCUAGGUUACUCAUGAACCUAAAAGUCUUCCCUAUUAGAAAACACAGAAAAAUGCUUUUUUUUUAUGUAGAACUUCUUUAGUACAUGGAACAAAUAAAGAAUGUAUGCAUUUCAUCUUUCAAAUGAAAAGUGACAUACAGGGCAUUUAGUCCUUGAUUUUUGUAAAAAUAUUUUGAAUAAUUGGCCUUAAAAGAAGUAAAAUUAUUAGUAAUUAUUACUUUUAUCCAUCCUCCCAGUUUGUCAAGAUUCAUUCUUUAUUUUCCAGUUCUUUCAUUACUAGUAGUAUUUUUCGUCAAGCUGCAUAAACCAGUUACUUUAGAACAUGUGAUCAGUGAAAGAAUGUUGUAAUUUCGGAUGUAUUUUAUUCACAAGUAUUGUUAGGUUCAAACUUGCAGAAUACAUAUGGUAAAACUGCAAAUGUCAUUAUUUCUGGAAGAAUGUGAAUAAUAUACUUGUUGUGUUACAAACAGUUUUGCAAAGCUUACUUUUAAAUUCAGAUAAAAAGAAUAAAUUAAUCUAACUUUUUUUUAAUUGUGAUCAACAUUGUAGUUUAAAAACAAACAUUAUUUUGUAACACCGGCAUUUUAUAACCUAUAAUUAUAAACUUUUAGUGGGUGUUAUUCAAGGCAAAUUUUAUGAUAAUGAGAUUCAUAACAUUUUUGUUCAAGGAAAUGUAAUGAUAAUUUGUAAAAUUAAAUUCCUGUUAGUAAAAUUGGAAUGCUGAGGAUGGUAAAUAGUUCAUUGUCAAUUAAUUUACUCAUUUUUGAAAUCGGGUUUUAACUGAAUCGUUGGACUAUAAACAGUGCAACUUGGUUUGAAUCCGAAAAGUAUAGUUUGCAAUUUUCUCCUUGUUUAAAUUAAUUUUGAAUCAUAAAAACUUGGUACAUAUUGUUAACAUAUAAAGGUUAGCAUAUUUUGGUCGUGUGUGUGGGCUACAUCAAGCUGAAAUAUACAGAAAUGUGAAUUGAUCUGUUAAGUGUUGUUGACAAGGAUUAAUUCUCAGAAAUCUAAAGUUCUUGUGGAUUGAUACUCUUGUAGUUCUGUAUCAGGCAAUGGACAUCUUUCCUGUAUAACAUAGCUCUAUGUAUACAUUUAGACAAAUAUACUAGUUGUUACAUAACUAGGGCAUAAAUUAUUAACAUUUAAAAUCAGUAAUAGGUUUUAAAACUGAGGUUUAAAUUGUAAUAAUGCUUUAUAUGAAAAAACAUAUAAAAUAUUGGUGGAAGAUUGUAUUUCCAUAUAAUGAUUGCUUUUAUCAUAGAUUAAAUAUCUGCCUUACUUUGUUAUCAUGCAUGAUGUGUAGUAAGUUGUUGUCUUCAACAUUUUAUCUCCUAAAAUGCUCAUGAAAUGGAAGUUAAUGCUUGCUUGUGAUAUAGAAUGUGGUGUGGAAUCAUCUAGUAAAAAUUGUAAAGGUUGUUAAAACCUAGGGUUGCUGGUGUUAAAUGUGAAAUUUUGUCUUUCAUCAUUUAACCUAGUAGAUAGACAUUUGCUGCUUCAUAAUACCUAUUACUUACUGUAAAUAGCCUUAUAUAUAUGAUAAAUAAAUUUCUGAAGCUUGCUGUAUUUCUUUUCUAUUAUUGCUGCUUCUUACAGGGAGUCUGAACAAUUCACUAAAUAUUGAUUUUGUACCAAUAGUGAUGCUUUAAUAAAUAAAAUUAAAUACAAACCAGGAUGAUGAAGAUGAUAAUCCCUAGAAGUGAACAACAUUAAAGAUUUGUAUGAAAGAAUUUGGGAUUUUGAUCACAAACCAAAGUAUUUGGGAUUUUACUUGUUCAUGGCGUUGAAUACAAAUAAUAUGUAUGAUUGUGUUUAAUUUAUGGUAUUCAGCACAAAUCAAGAUUUCUGAAAUAUUGAAUCUGUGGUACUGAAAACAAACUGGAUCUCUAGGAUUAUACUAGUACAUCUGUGUGAUUUAACAGGAUAUAUUCAUGAUUAUACUUGAUAUGUGGCAUUGAACCAAAUUAUAGAAUGUCUGGGAUCAUGCUAUUUGUAUAUGCAACAAAACUACAAUAUCACAUUCAGUUUGGACUGAAACAUACUCAGGUUAUUGAAAGUUGCAUCUUUGUGGAAUUACAAAAAUGCUACCAGACAAUGUUUUUAAUAAGCAUAUUUUCAGGAUUUUCCAAAGAAUAUAUAAGUGAGGAUAAGUAAAACAUUUUACCUCAAAAUCUUGUAAGUUUCAUCAAAAUUAAAGUUUGGUUCCUUUUACUUGUAUGUGAAGGGAGGAAGUGAGAUAAAUUUAUAAUUUGUAUUCAUGUAAUAGGUUUAAAGUUUUUGUUUAGAAAUAUAAGCUCUAAAAAUUUCAUUUUACAAGCAGCAAAAAGUUGUAUUUCUUAAUCUUGUAAAUGAAGACAUUCUAAUCCAGCAAAUAAUGACAUUUCAUAAAACUUGAUUGAUUCAUAGUAAGGACAGACAGACAGACAGACAGAGGAAACUGUAAAGCAAAAUAACCCAGUAACAGUUUCAAUUUUUAAUAUUAACUUCCAAACACAGCAUGCUAGCUAUUAAAAACAAAAUUAAAAAUCAACCUGAAGGUGAGUAUAGCUAAUUAAAUAUACUUUUCUUACUUGUAAAGGUUAGAAUGCAUUGUUUCAUCAGUUGGGUACCCUCGCUGUUAGCAAUAUUUUUAGCUGUAAACCCAAUAAUAUAUUCCAUGAGGUUUGGCCAGUUUAGGAGAUUUAGAUUAGUCCUAAAUUCCUAUGCUAAGCUGCAAAUGCAAAAAAAUUUAUAACACUAAGCAUAUCGUACAUUCUAA
rnacentral:misc_RNA from 1 species